UACGUAGGGUGCGAGCGUUAAUCGGAAUUACUGGGCGUAAAGCGUGCGCAGGCGGUGAUGUAAGCCCGAUGUGAAAUCCCCGGGCUUAACCUGGGAACUGCAUUGGUGACUGCAUUGCUGGAGUAUGGCAGAGGGGGGUGGAAUUCCACGUGUAGCAGUGAAAUGCGUAGAGAUGUGGAGGAACACCGAUGGCGAAGGCAGCCCCUGGGCCAACACUGACGCUCAUGCACGAAAGCGUGGGGAGCAAACAGG
rnacentral:rRNA from 1 species